ACUUUCAGCUUGUUGUGUUUGUGGAUAUAUGACUGACUUUAAUUAUCCACAAAAUCAUCAGAUUCUCUGUAAGAUUAAGGUCAAGUAUCGAACGGCGUAUAAAGUAAAAGCUUUAAAACAAAGUAAACGCUGAAAGAACAAACAUCGCUAAAGUCACAUAACUUUGCCGGCAUGUGGCCACAAGUAAUGUUUUAAUGUUUUUCGUUAUUAAACAUUUGCACAUAAAUAAAUGACAUAAUAUUCAGAACUUACUUUUGAAAGUUUACUCUUUGGCCGCUCCGCUUCCAUUUCUUUGAAGUGUCUCCCAGUCCCAGUGCACUUGUUAGCAUGUUUUGGUUCGUGCAACUGGUCCGUCCGGUUAUUGUCUCCCCAGAAACAUUUCCGUUGUGUUGUGUGUGCUUUUGCAGCGUUUUUCUUUUUGCAGCGUUUUCCUUUUUGCAGCAUUUUUCUUUUUGCAAGUGUUCUCUGAAGUUGCAGUCCGUUUGGCCUCUCAGGGCCACCAUAUUAAAAGCUUCAGAUUAUAUAAAAUAAUUUAAUAGUAAGAUAUUUAAAAGAUGCAGGUAGCCAUUAUACCAUUUUAGUCCCCCUUAUUUUUUUUAGUCGCAAGAAUCAAAUAAAAAUGUCACUGAGACCUUUUGUUUUCUCACUACACCAACAAGAGGUUCAAUCUGGCUUCCGAUUCAAAAUAAUACUCUACAAAAAAUAUGUAUUUAAGAGCCAUUUUAAAUAAUUAAACCGCCUUUUAAAUGCUUCUGCAAUGUUUGUCACUUUUAGCUAUGCAUAAUAUAAUCACAUUCAGAAAAACAAGAUAGUGAGUGUGAGAAAACAUUGGCAGUGUUAGCACUAGCAGCAUUCGUUGUAGUGCUGCUAGUGCUAGCAAAUAUUGUAUUACAUGUCUUUACUGACAGGGUAAUAACUUUUUAUAUCAGACCUGGCUGGCUCUUGCACGGUUCUUGGGCUGCUUAUUCAGUCCAUUGGUUGUCUCUGACCUCCCCACAUGAGGCUAAUACAAAAUUAGCAUUCAAACGUAAAGAAGGAUACAUCAUGCUUUUGUGAAUUUUGUGGGAAAUCACAAAGCUGGACUUUACUGCACUAUCCAGCUUGGUAAAAAUUGUUUUUGCUUUUGCAGCUUUGCUAGAAAGGUUUCCAGUGUCUAUCCCUGCUCUGCAUCGGUACAGCUUUGCUGUAAAUCCACUCUACAUAGAAUGUAGCUUUUUAACAAAACAUGUACAGAAAGUAUUUAUUUGAAUUCAGGAAUACAACAACAUGACUGAUGCAACACAGGAAUGGACACUGCUGUGAAAGCAGCAAGUUUCAGAGGGAUGGAGCAGUCAAGGCCAGGUUUGUCAUCUUCCACAAAAUCGCAAAAUACAUAAAAUCAUUCUCUGAUGGGGAGUUUAUCAUAGUGUUUGCUGAUAUGCCCUGAGAAAAAUUAAGGAUUUGUGAAUGUGCCCCUCUCCAAGUGAAUCCCAAAAGAUAGAUUAACCACAUUAUAGCAAAAUCAGGAUCUUCAUUUGAAAAACAAAGCAGAUAUUGGACAAGACUCUGGCCAACAACUGUGAUGUCUACAAGACAACCAAGUUCCUCUUCUUUAUACACAGAAUAACAAAACUGUGUCAGAUUGCAGAGCAGCUGGCAGCAAUGCUGCUGCUGAAAACUGAUGGCCGUCCAAAUCUGACAGGAAGAAAUGACUUUUGACAAUGGACUGACAUGAACCCAGAACUGAAACUGGUAUUUGUGCACUGUAUCAUUCACCAAGAGGUGUUGUGCAAGUCAAUGCUAAAAAAUUAACCAUGUUGUUGAUGUAACUAAAAUAGUUAACUUCAUCAGGGUGAAAAGCAAUGAAUCACGGACUUUAAGUCAGUAUCACUGCUGUUUUUUUAUUCUGCUCACAAAAACGAGAACUUUCCACACAUACAAAGAUAUUCUCACAUAAUGCUGGUUUUCUUUUGCAUGUGAACAAACAUUAUUUGUGAUAAAGUUUAACAAAACUAGACAUGGAUAAUCUCUGUCUGCUAUCCUUUGCAUUUCCAUCUCAUUUCAAAGCUGACACCAGUGCACCCGUUAAAGCCAAUAAUAAACUAAAUUUGUCUCAUAAAACAAGAAAAAAGACCUAAAUAACUGCAAAAAACAACAACAAACAAAUUAGCAACAGUACCUUGUUAAAAAAUGCACAUUUUGUUCCAAAUUGCUUUUGGUAAUGUUGAAUAGUUUUACAUUUGGGUUCAGUUCAUUGGUGCGCAGCCCAUCACAGCAGUCAUAAAUUCUCAUGUGGCUGGUUGGGAAAAUGAAUUGUCCUCCCCUGUUCUAUAUCAAAGUUACAUACAUACAGUGUUAUUUAGAUAUUUACAUUACACUGUUUCUCAUAUUUAUUGUGAAAUAUUGAAAAGCUGGAUAAAAUUCUUUUUAAAAAUUGAAAGAACUUUUUUGUGCUUAUCAGCCCACUGAUCAUGUAACACAAAAAGUCAGCUUGAAUGAAUGGUCUGUGUAGCUGCUAUGAAGCUUUCUUCAGGUGUUGUGAAUGUGUGCUUUUAACCUGGUUUGCCCUGAGAUUAAUGGCAGAUGCUGAUCUCAAGACUGCAGGAGUAAUGAUGUGAUCUGUGGUUGGUGUAUAAAAAGAGUUUUCUGUCAAUUUCUGACAGAAAGUAUACUUAGAGCACAAGUGACUGCUAAUGUGACUUUUGUUUUUUAAUGAUCAAGUUCACUCCUGUGAUAACCUAUGAGUAACAAAUGUGUUGAUGACAAAGGGAAGAGAUUCUGUAUGUGGGAAUGCUCUUUUUUGUCACGUUCUGUGCUUGUGAUGAUGGUGAAACAGUCAGCUCUCACAUGAUGUGAUUUUCCCUUUUUAGGGGUUUGCAAAAAAAACCAAAACAAAACAACGACAAAAAAAAAAAAAAAAAAACACGGACAAGUGAGAUACAGAUGCCUGCAAAAUUACAGUUUAGGGGUUGCUGUCAUAAUUUCUAACCUAGUUAGAACAUGACCAUGAUAAAUAUUGAUGUCAGUAAGCUUGAACCAGUUUGUUUAAAAUCGUUAUUAAAAGAUAACUAAAACAGGAGUCUACUUAAGAUGUAUUUUUGCAUGACACAAUGAAAACAGCACAGAUUUGUUUUGUUUGUGCACCACAUUAUCAAUACACUUACAGAAACAGCCACUUAAAACGGCCACCUGAUCAGUGACAGCACUUUGAUGGAUCUAUAGUGGAAUCCUGACCGAUUGCCGGCUGAUGGGUGGCCGUAAUGAUAUCCCCCAUCUGUGACUUGGAUGGUGCAACCCUGAGCCGUAAGCGACAUCUAUGAAAAACAGUGGUAAUGUCUUGAGUAUCCACCAGGGGUAGCAGUGUGGAGGUGCAUUCAUUUACAGACUUGCUACACCAUAUAUUUAAAACCUCUUCAGUUUGUUCAGGAAUUCAGCCUUUCUGUCAAAGAUUUAUAGAGACAUAUGUUUGCAGCAAAUAAAAUACAGGUUGUGCACGCCAGACAAGCCAGACAUAUUGAUUGAUUGAUUGACUGGUAAUUUAUUUUAACAUGUGAACAAUAUACAAGUACAUUUAGAAAAGAAAAUAGUACAUUUAGAAUGGAAAAUAUAAGAUAUAUAUAUAUAAAGUGAUGCUUGCAUUCUAUGAUUAUUACUAACUUGUGUUUCUGCCAGAUAUAUCUGGCACUUUGUUCUAAAUAUUUCUGAUGAUGAACCACAACGCUCUGGGACCAUGCUUAAAACUAUUGGUAAUUCUUACCAUUUACAAAUAAAUUAACAGUUAUAGCGGUAACGGUCACAGUCAUGCCUGCUUACUCAAGUUGUCUGCCGCUAAUCUUAAUAUAUCAUGUUUGCAAAUAAUUAAAUACUGUGGUUCAAAAACUUUACUCUGGGGAAGGGACAUUCUAAAUCCAACAUCUGGUACAUGUCCCGUAAAUCAGUGUCCAAUCUGCAGUAUUUAUUUAUUUAGUUAUAGGUGAAAACACUCCACAUGCUUACAGGUAGGAGAGAAUUAACAGUUUUUAGUGUUGAACCUGGUCUUAAUGUAUUCCAGGAAUAACUACCAGUUGUUCAGUAUUUACGGAACAAUUUUCUUAAAAGUAUUCUAUAACAGUUUUCCCAAACGUAAUGACACAAUUACCUUACGAACCUAGCAGGGCCUGUCCUGAAACUCCCCUGGUGUAGGUGUGCUCUUUCUCUCCUCUUUCAACCCGGACACUUUUCGUUACUUUCUCUCCCCUGGACCUCUUUAGGGGACCAUAUCAAGUUAAAAUGAGAGAUUUUUGCUUUUCGUCUUAGUGCUUGUUGUUCAGCAUCCGUGCAUAUCGUCACCUUUUAAAAUAUAGAGAAAUUAUGGGUCACUCAAGACAAUAUAAAACACACACAAUAUAAAACUUUAAAGAAAUCUAAGAAACAAAAAAUCUAAGUAUUAAGUUGGAACCUAACAGAAAAAAACAAAGGACAAGCUUAUAAUUCACACAUAAGUACAACUCAGUAAACAAUAGGCUAGGUGGAAAAAUACUAGCUGACAGCUGGCUGACCUCUGGCUGAAAGCAGCAAUUUUGAGUGGCUGUAUCUGUACUUAGUGCAUAAUUCUCUGAGCAAUUUAAGGUUGCAGUUUAAAAAUUGUCAUUAUUUACUACGUUUUUCACAUUAUACGAUCACAUUGAUGAUUGUAUUGUUUACCUAGUUGAUGAUUUUCUGAUCUUACUGGAGGUUGAGCAUACAGUUCUUACUGUUGUGGUAUAUAUUUAUCAUAUCAUUUCAUUGAGAGAUUGCACAAUUGUUCAUAAACAGGUUAAAUGAGAAUUCCAAGGUACCAAUCAUUUGUUCUGACUUUUAUGCUAUGCACUACUGUCAUUUGUUUAUUGUUUGUCUUUUCUGGAGACUGAAUAUUGGUAUUUGCCAAAAUCCAUAUGGUUGUGUGCCAGUUUCAGAUAUUUACAAGUUGCCUUAUUUGUUGCAUAAUAUAAAUUUUGUGCAGAAGUAUCUGAAAUUGCCCUAAUAUGAGUGUGUAGAUAACUGAUACUAGGUACUUUGUGUGUAUGUAGCUUGUAGUGUUAAAGUACUUUGGGAAGAUCUCUUUUUCUCUUUUGGGGGGAUUACUGGUCAUUUAUGCAAAAACUUUCUUUUAAGCAUAGUAAGCAUUUCAAUAUUUUUAGGUACUUUUCUCUAGAGUUGAGUUGAGUUUUCUCUAGGUGAAGCCCAAGACAAAGUUAAAAGGUUACUGAUAUGUAAAUAGCUAAUAUGCGUACAAAUUUAAUGUUCACCAGUAUUGACCAAAGGUAGCUCCUGUUACACAGGCCAGUCUUGCAAGGCUCAUUCUUUUAAAAUCACUGUAGGUGACAACGGAAAGAUGUAGUGUAUUUCUUUUCUAUCCAAAAUUCUAUCCAAAGGGGAUAAAACUCCAGUAACUGGAGGAAGUGAACUACACACAUUUUGGCUGGUAGACAACCUGCACUACAACCUGACCCACAGCCACCUCAUUUAUCUCCUACUGUUGUUAUAUUCAUCCUGCUACACUGGAAGACUGACUAGAAGAUCUUCUGAAAUAGUGGAUAAAGGUUUCCAGAUCACCAAAGAGCAAGUUUUAUAUUCAGUUUUGACACACCUUAGUUCAUGACUUUCUCAAAUUUUAAAAAGAAUGACUAAAGAAGAUGAAAGAGUGACUGUGCAACUUUUUUGUCUUGAGGGGGGGCUAUCUAUCUUUAUGGGAUUUUAAUGGGGGGAAGUGAUCUGCAUUAUCGUGACUUGCUGUACCUGACUAGAACUGAUGUUGCAGAUAGGAAAUAACAAUUCUUGGCCGAGCUUAAAAAUUUUAACAGGCAAGGUAAUGGGGGGUUAACUAUUUGUGUUACUGGUGUGUGUUUUAAAGACACACCAGUAUGAAGAGCCUGCCGGUGGCCUCCCAGUAUGAUAAAGACCAGCACUACACCAAUUACAACAGUAUAACUUUAUUAUCUGAAAAGAAUCAACCCUGUUUUGCCUUCUUUGUCUUAUAAUUAGACCCAAGUCAGGGAAGAAGAGAUGGAGGUUUUAUGGAUACCCCUCAUAUUCAGUCCGUUAAAAAAUACAUCACUUAGCUUUGGGUUGAAUAUAGGUUUUAUAAAUAUUCUCGUCAGGGCAGAUUAUCUCAUUUAAUACAAAAAUACUAAUACCGAACAACUAUGAUAUUUCAGACAGAGACUCAUUCUCAUAUUUCCCUUUUCUGAAUCAUCUGAAUACAUUUCUUUUAGGAUUUCAUAACCAGGUGCUCUCUAACCUCCAUGAUUAAACACACACACAUAACUUUCUAAUGUUUAGCAUUAGGACAUCUCAAAGUGAUCUUGAUCUCAACUACACCUUUUGCAAAAAUAAAAAUUGUCUUUAGAGGCUACCUUUGAUACCCUCCAAAUCCACAUUCACUCUUUACAUUUUAUUUAUUAAUGAUUUUUAUGAUUUAUGUUUCAGGAACUCUACACCAUAACUACAUAUGUGUUUGCCACAACUGACCAGAACAAAGAAUGGAGACCCAAUACGGAAAAAGUUCCAUUGUUUUAUCUGUUUCUUCAUUCAAAAAAAUGAAUGAGGUAAAUUGUUCAGUUUUAUAAUUAUUAUUUAUCUUCAGCCUAAAAGAUAUUUUUUCCAAUAAAGUCUACUUGAUUGUGUCUGGUAUUAUCUGUACAGAAUACUAAUGUGUUACUUAGUUCUGUCACUUAAUCUUUAAGUUAACAUUAGGAUAACAUUUAGGAUUGGCAUACUUCUUAAAUCCACAAGGUGACAGUAAUGCAACAACAGUUGUCAUAAAAACCUCAAGAGAAAAAAGGUUAAAAUGAUUCAUAAUACAUAUGCUCAAACCUUCAACCUUUAUGGUUUGCCGAAACCUGCUGAUCUUCAUAUUUUUGAGUUACGUAAGAGAUUUUUCUUUUUUUGUGAUUGUUUUUUGUAAUAUCUUCAUAUUGAGCAUAGUUGUAUUUUGUGAUUGUGGAAUAUGACAUUUGUAUAUUUUUCACACACAAUAGUGGAUUUUGGACAAAUCAGACAUGUCUGCUUUUGUCAAAGGGAACAUGUUACUGCAUUACAUGUUACUACAACAAAUCCAUUUAUAUACAAUUUUCUGCGUAGUCUAAAGGGAGAUUGCAUUUCUAUUUUGUGUUCCCCUUCUCACUGAUCUUUGUCUGCAGAUCCAGAGCCCCUUAAGAUACUUCCUAUACAAACCCAGGAUUGUAAAGCAAGCAUCCAGGAAAUGUUGGGUGUUUGGUAAAAGAAGCUGCAUAAAACCAGAUACUUUGGGCUGUUCUGUUAGUGUAAGUGUAACUACAUAUUCUUACAGAACACAGUGGUACAUACUGUAGUAAUACAGAUGCGGCAGUCCAAUAUGGCAGUCAACCAAACCGGUUUGACAACCUGUUUAACAGGUUUCGUGCGUGUAUGCAUGCGCGUUCAGGUGUGCUCGGGGUGAUAUGUGUUUAUGUGUUUUUAACUGUGUUUUAAUUUCAUCAAACCAUGGGGUUUAAUAAUGGCGGGUCUCAACAUUCAGUUAUGCAGACAUAUGUGUUCUUAAAAGCAAUUCUUUGUUUUGUGUGGCGGAGUGGAAGCCGUUUUGUUUCACAGUGCACCUUAACAAACCUGGAAUGGGUACUUGCUUUUUAUUUGCAUCUAGUCAAAAGUGUUACUAAUUGUGUUUUAAUCACACUAAUUUUUUGAUUCUGAAAAUGUCUCAGCAUGCAGUGAUGCAUGCAUUUUAUUUAAAAACAAAACGCCACAAAUGGGAAUUUCUUCUGUAUGGGAAAUUUCAGCCUUCGGGACUGUUCACAAGUAUUUCUUUUAAUCAAACCACUAGUUUUAAUUUAACUAGUUUUUACGUAUCUACUGGGGUUUCUUUCACGGGGUGAUGCGAUCAUUUUAUUUAAAAAUCGGGAUUUCAGAAUGUUGAACCAAGAGGGAGACAGAGCCAGCUAGUUUUUUAACACAGUAGAUGGUCGCAAAUAACAUUCAGCCCCUUUGGAAAAUAAACGCUUUUGUGGUAGCUCUAAAACACAUUGCACAGGAUCAGCAAGUAUCACUCUUUCAAACUAAUUGUGUUUUAAUCACACUAAUUUUGUCAUUCUGAUGUCUCAACAUGUGGCGAUGCAAGCAUUAUAUUUAAAAAACAGAUCAAAUGGGUAUUUCUUUUGUACGGGUAUCAAAAUCUACCAGCUUUAAUACAAUAGGUGGUCACAAAUAACAUUCAGCCCCUUUAGAAAAUAAACGCUAUUGUGGUAGUUCUAAAACACGUUGCACAGGAUCUUGUCUUUUGCCCGAAGCAGCCAAUAUUGCUCUUUCAAACUAAUUGUGUCUUAAUCACACUAAUUUUGUGGUUCUGACUAUGUCUCAGCAUGCAGUGGCACAAACAUUUUAUUUUAAAAACAACACAAAUGGGUACUUCUUCUGUGCGGGUUUCAGAGUAUACUAGUUUUUAACGCAAUAGGUGAUCACAAAUAACAUUCACCCUCUGUCUUUCAACAGCUAAUUGUUUGAAAUUGUUCAGGAAUGCAAAAGCCCUCCGGGGGUAUCAUUUAAUUGUUGUGAUUCCUUAGGAUGGCCAGUUACACCGGUGCUCAGCAACUGCGUGCCCCACCCCAGCAUAGUUCAAGCACCCUCAUUGUUUUAAACUUGCACAGCAAGGUGAUGCCCUGCAGGUGUAUCGACCCCAGAUUCAUCGAAACUCUCUGUUGUUUUGGAAGCACUAGGUCCUAUAUAAAGCUUUCCUCAGAGCCUGAAACCCUUCGCCAUUUUCGCCUCAGGAACCUGCCGCGGAGCAGACCAUUUUCUUUAUAACAUGGACAGCGUAAACGGUAAGUAAAACAAGGCUAUUAUUAUUGUAUUUUUAAAUAGGAUAUCAUUGGAUAUUAUAGGAUAUUCAAACUAUUUUCUUUUUCAGACACUGAUCUGAAAUAUAAAAGCGUGUUAGAAGCAGCUUUUGCUGGAUUUGUUCAAGGGAGGGUUAUACAGAAUUUUAAGUUGUUCUCUUGUGUGAUUGCACAGGGUCCCAUCACAGGCCCUCAUAUUAAACUGUACAGCAGAAGUUUCAAUUCACUUUUAUCUAUACACACACACCAAAUUACAACAACAGUCACCUGCUAGUGAGACUGUUAGUCACACAGAUGGUGGACAGAAAGUAAUUUUGAAUUUAGAAAAAUAAAAUGACUCAACUAACAUUUACUGCUGUAUUUAUUAUUAUUACCCCUUUUUCUGUGCUCCUACAUCUAUGACAAUGUAUGUGUGACAGGUGAGACCUGAGUCUGGGAACCGCCCCUGGUGGGCGGAGCUGGUCUUUGCUCCUUUCAUAAGCUCAGGUGUGGGCAAUUAGGUAUUCCUCAGCAAACCUGAAGCUGCCAGUGCUUGGUCCAAGUUGGGCAAGUUGGUGUUUUUAAUUUCUUUCCGUGAAAGCUUGAUGCGGGUCCCCCUCAAGUUCUGUCAGAACGGUGGGAAACAUUGCGUUCCGUGAGAACAGUGUAGUGGACUUCACCGCCACUGACCCACAUUUAUUAGGGUGUGAUGUGAACUUGUGGACAGAGUACCGAGCUGCUGCUUUGCCAAGUGGAUUUCUGGCUGCGGGCAAAGGACCCGACACAUCAGAGUGUUUUACUUUGUUUUAUACUGGUGUAAGUCGACAGACUGUGACUGCUGCGGCUGUAGAUUUUGUUUGUUUCUUGUUUUAUUUUUCUGUGUCAGUAGGCACCACAGAGAUUGGCUCUUUUAGUAUUUUAACCCCUUUUUUAAUACAUAUAUUGUCGCAGACGGUGAAGGUGCUGCAGGGAAAACUUUUUUUUUUUUUUUUAAAAACUGUUCCCCGCAGCGCUUGUCCUGUCUCACGGGCAAUCAUACAGUUUUAUCGUUCUUAAUAAGGUAAAGUUCUUAAUUGUUUUUAAGGUGCACUGUUAUACUGUUUCUUUUAUUUUGUAUUAAAAAUGAAACUGUGUGUGUGUGUGUGUGUGUGUGUGUGUGUGUGCGCGCUUCAGAGCACCUACACUAGCGCAUGUACAAUCAGUAAGUGUACAUUCACAUUUGUGAUUCCAAAACAGGUCUUACAUAGUUGAUGUGAAAUAUUUCAUGCACUUUUGUUUUUUUUGUAUUAUGCAUUAAAGUUAUGCAAGGCAAUUGUAAUGUAUUUAAACCAAUCCAGGGGGAAGUAUCUCCUUUUUAGCUUCAGUGACACAUAUACUUCACACCCCUUAAACUAGAUGUUAAUGUUCUCAAAGUUAACACGGCUCAUGUUACCAUGACACUGCUAAAACACAGCUUCGCCGGAUUCCCUAUAGACUCUCAGAUGGAAACACCAACAAUCUAGAUAUUUACAGAUAUACGUCAAGCCAUCUUUAAUGUCUUAAGUUUUGUUGUUUUUAUGUUUUACUAAAUACUAAUUAUUCUGGGAUAUUUAUUGCCAAACUACGCAAUCUUCCAAAUCUGUGUGGAGUACAAAGUUGUAACCAAGAAUCAAUAUCAGAAAAAGUCUGUUUACGUGGCUUUUAUGAAACUGAUUUUCAAUAGUACAGCCAACGUCUAACUUUUCUUUGGCUCUCCAGUAUAAAUGCAUGUUUUUGCAUGCUUUAUUGAAACUGUCACACAAUUUAACAUUCAAUGCAUGUUUCUAUGGACACUGUUUCAUACAUCAACUGCUCUGAAAAUCACUUUUAAAGUAAUGUAGAACAUAAUCUGACAAUCACCUCUAAACAAGGGGGGUUAGUUUAUAUGGCUUUUUUCUUGGAUUUGUUUUGUUUUUUUAUCAGCCGCAACACCAUGUAAUGCCUGGAUGUUAGACUCUUUUACAAGAACAUGUUGCUAGCCUAACCACCGGGCUCCGGGUCUCUGAACUCUAACCCUGGCUGCCAAAUGUGCCUCUGAGCCUCUUGUGCCUUUUUACUACCAGACUAAGUUUGUAGUCUCACCUACUAAUAUUAUUUUAAUAUAGCACAAUAUUCAGCUAGGUUACUACUUUGACUUUUAUAAUUUAAGCACAUUUCUGAGCCCAUACAUUAUCAAACUUUCUACUCGAGUGUUUCUGACAGCUAUACCUCUACUUAAGUCAAAAUCAUGAUGCUUUUGUGUAGGUAUUUAUUACUGGGGCUAUAUUUGCAAAUGGUGGUCUACUGGAGUGCAAAAUGUUGAAAAGCGUUACUAAUAUUGUGUUUAAUUAAUUGGAAGGUAAGGGCAUUUUUCAAUUUUCAUUUCAUGUUUUUGACUCAAAGUGACAAAUACGUUUUUGAAAUUAGUUCUGUGAGACUAAUAUUGCCUGGCUAUAGCUAAGGAGGUAGAGUGGGUCAUCUACUAAUUGGAAUCGAUCCCUAGCUGCUCCUAUCUGCAUGCCAAAUAUUCUUGGGCAAGUUACAAAUCCCAAGCUGCUCUAUGGUGCAUUCAUUCAGAGAAUGAAUACUAGAUAGAAAGUGCUUGUAUGAAUGGGUGAAUAAGACAAGUUGUGUAAAGCCCUUUGAGUGGUCAGAGUAAAAAAGUGUUAUAUAAGAACCAGUUCAUUUGACCCGUUGUCAGUGGUGACAAAGGCUCCUAUUUAUUCAUUAUUGGUAACUAUUAGCCAUUAAAGUCCACCCACUAAAAGUUCUUGUUUUUGUUGCUGACAGGCUGCUAUUAUAAAUGUCUCACAAAACUAACUCUGACUCUACAUCAUGUUUCUCCUCAUUGCUUCUCUACUGCCCUUCUUUUUGUUCCUUGCUAGAUAUUUUCAUUUGUUGUUGUGAAUUAAAAGUUCAUUUGAACUAAACCAGAGUUGAUGAUUAAACAGUGUAAAGGCAAGCCAAGACUUUUUUUUAAAAUUUUGUUUCUGUCAAGCUUACAUGAAAAGUCUUUUGUGAUGCUAAAAUUAAUGUCUCUGUAAAUGGAACCAUGCUUUGAACAAAGAAAUAUAAGCUGCUCCUUCUGAUCAAACAAAAGGAUAUUAUUCUUUCAACAUCUUUUUAAAAGUCUUCAUAGUUUUGUGAAACACUAUGAAGAGGUUUAUCUCUGUGCAU